UAUAAUAAACACACAAAUUAUAAAUCUGUUCUUUAUUCAAUAAAUCAUGCAUAUAUGAUAAUAAAAACAAAAACGAGAUCAAACAUAAGGUCAAACAUAAGACCAAAGAAACAAUUAAGGAAUAAGAUGGUUUGCAGUGCACCUCCUUUGACCGACUCACAACUGCACCCGUGUAGAAUAUCAUUCAUGAAUUUUAAAAGUGCCUUUUUAGCAAGUGAGGUAAAAGCAACUUGUGAUGGGACUAAUCAAUUAAUGCAAAAAAUAGGGCUCGUACGUAACCCAAGUCCAACUUCGGCUCUGUGCGCGCGAUGUUACGUAAUCGUUUUUUGGGGUUUAUUUCCAGCUGUUCAUAGAUUACUUUUUUGGGUGAUUGGUCCACUUUAAGGUUAAAAGCCCAAAUCCGUCUUGGGCUCUAUGCGCGCGAUGUUACGUAAUUGUUUUUUGAGGUUUAUUUACAGCUGUUCAUAGAUUACUUUUUUUGGGUAAUUGGUCCACUUUAAGGUUAAAAGCCCAAGUCCAACUUGGGCUCUGUGCGCGAUGUUACGUAAUUGUUUUUUUAGGUUUAUUUCCAGCUGUUCAUAGAUUACUUUUUUGGGUGAUUGCACUUUAAGGUUAUAAGCCCAAGUCCGACUUGGGCUCGGAGCGCGAUGUUACGUAAUUGUUUUUUGAGGUUUAUUUCCAGCUGUUCAUAGAUUACUGUUUUGGGUGAUUGGUACAUUUCAAGGUUAUUAUAAGCCUUAAUUUUUUGGGUUUAUUUUCAGCUGUUCAUAGAUUAAUUUGUUGGAUGAUUGGUACACUUUAAGGUUAUAAGCCCAAGUCCGACUUAAUUGGGCUCGAUGCGCGCGAUGUUACGUAAUUGUUUUUUGAGGUUUAUUUCCAGCUGUUCAUAGAUACUUUUUGGGGUGAUUGGUACACUUUAAGGUUAUAAGCCCAAGUCCGACUUAAUUGGGCUCGAUGCGCGCGAUGUUACGUAAUUGUUUUUUGAGGUUUAUUUCCAGCUGUUCAUAGAUACUUUUUUGGGUGAUUGGUACACUUUAAUGUUAUAAGCCCAAGUCCGCCUUGGGCUCUGUGCGCGAUGUUACGUAAUUGUUUUUUGAGGUUUAUUUCCAGCUGUUCUUAGAUUACUGUUUUCGGUGAUUGGCACAUUUCAAGGUUAUUAAAAGCCUUAAUUUUUUAGGUUUAUUUCCAGCUGUUCAUAGAUUACUUUUUUGGGUGAUUGCCUUGGGCUCUGUGCACGAUGUUUUUGAGGUUUAUUUCCAGCUGUUCUUAGAUUACUUUUUGGGUUGAUUGGUACACUUUAAGGUUAUAAGCCCAAGUCCGACUUGGGCUCUGUGUGCGCGAUGUUACGUAAUUGUUUUUGAGGUUUAUAUUUCCAGCUGUUUAUAGAUUAUUUUUUGGGGUAAUUGGUACAAUUAAUAUAAGCCUUAAUUGGCGUAGCUACAGGGGAAAAAGGUAAGCUUCCCUCCUAAUGGGAUGGUGUUUUAAAGUUUUAAUUUUAGGAAAUGUAUGCUACUUUGUUUCACUAUUAUACCCUGCUUAGCUUUGAUCAUAUGUAAAAAAAAAAAAAAAAAGGGAUAGCAUAUAUUAUUAUUGUAUUACAAGUAUUCAUAUUGAUUGUUAUUGGGUCUGCUAUUUUUGUCUACAAAUACAUAUUUUUGAAUUACUCCAGAA